GUAGGCCGCAAGGUGAACCACGAAAAGUCCUUUAGAAAUCGAAUCCCGCUCCACAGGCGUGCAUCUACACAAUAUUUAGUUCAUAAAAAAGAAAGAGUCGUGCUUAGUCAAUUUUUGGUGCGUCUAUGUUUUAUGCCGAACUAGUUUCUUCAGAGCGCACAAGGAUCUUGGUCGCGAGUGCUGGCACUUUUCGACACGUGAUCAUGCUACACCAAUAAGGUAGCUGCUUUUUGUCAAUAGAAUGGCAAGAUGGCGUCCACCAUGCCUUCAUCGAGCAGUACGGAAGACGAAGAAAAUACACCGGAAUGUCUUAAUAAAUCAAAAAACAAACAUUGUUUUAUGCAUAUUACUUCAGUCAAGCACGAAGAGGUACAUUAUUUCACCACUACACGAUGGAAUACAUACAGGACAAGCCUACAAACGUGGCUCGGCUCUGGAGGUGCAGUACCACAAAGGCUGUUAUAAUCAGUACACCAGGUUUUUGACGAGGCCUGAAAAACCAGAGAAAGAACAGAAUGAGCCCACGUUUGAUGUCAGCUAUAAGUUAUUCUGUGAGAGGAUCAUUCGCCAAAGGCUGCUUGUCAACCAAGAGGUGCAGAGAAUGGGCCAGCUGAGGAAGGCCUUCAUUGAACUGGUGAAAGCAAAUGAAGGUCUUGAAGCUUCAAACUACAGACAGGAUAUGUUGAAGAAGAGGCUGACUCGUGAUUUCCCCCAUCAGUAUCAAAAACCUAGAACGGUCAUGUAUAGAGCUGAUGCAGGGUCACAACGCAUGCAAAUCUUUGGCCC
ensembl:lncRNA